rnacentral:rRNA from 1 species
GUGAGGAAUAUUGCGCAAUGGAGGCAACUCUGACCCAGCCAUGCCGCGUGCAGGAAGACGGCCCUCUGGGUUGUAAACUGCUUUUAUCUGGGAAGAAAAAGGCCAUGCGUGGCAAAUUGCCGGUACCAGAUGAAUAAGCACCGGCUAACUCCGUGCCAGCAGCCGCGGUAAUACGGAGGGUGCGAGCGUUGUCCGGAUUUAUUGGGUUUAAAGGGUGCGUAGGCGGCUGAUUAAGUCAGCGGUGAAAGACUUCGGCUUAACCGGAGCAGUGCCGUUGAUACUGGUUGGCGUGAGUGUCGGAGGGGUACAUGGAAUUGAUGGUGUAGCGGUGAAAUGCAUAGAUACCAUCAGGAACACCGAUAGCGAAGGCAUUGUACUGGCCGACAACUGACGCUGAUGCACGAAAGUGUGGGGAUCGAACAGGAUUAGAAACCCCGGUAGUCC